rnacentral:lncRNA from 1 species
AACAAGCCUUAGACUCUUAUUUUAGGAGCACUUUUUGAGGCUCCACAAACACGAGGAUACUAUCCUCCUCUCCAGACGCGACCAACACAGCCAUGGCCGCUGCGCCCCCGACGCGGUCGCGGCCACCGACGGCAGCGGCAGCAAGAUGCCUUCUCCCAACAUAGGCCGCAGUGGUGGCAGGAUGCCUUCUCGGAGCGGCGGCGGCGGAAGCUUACCUCGUCGGCUCCCCAACCCCCCAC